GGGAGAAGCUUACUGCUGUUUUCAUGGCUCUGCAUGCCCGGGGAAAGAGGAAGGCCACAGGAAGGUGACAGCUGAGGCAGGGUAUAACAGCAGGUCCCCAGGGUGGGUCAUUCACUGGGCUGACAAUCCAGUUGAUGCUUGCUUGGGUUGGGGCUCUGUGCUAAUUUGGAUGCUGACAGCCAGGUGACAGCAGCAGAGGGAAAGUAAGCUGAGAAGCAGAGAGGGGGAACCUUGAAAUGAUGCCUCUAAAUGAUGGUUGACUUGUUUGUGACAUCACACCCCUAAGGCAUAGCUCUUUCCCCUGGGAGGGAUGCUGAGUGUCAAGUAGGCAGGCUGGGUACAUUUCCUUUUGGGAUGUGGUAGCGACAGUGUCCUACAGAGUCAGACUGGUGGCUUUAACAUCAC
rnacentral:lncRNA from 1 species